CUCAGGAUGAACGCUGGCGGCGUGCCUAAUACAUGCAAGUCGAGCGAACGGACGAGAAGCUUGCUUCUCUGAUGUUAGCGGCGGACGGGUGAGUAACACGUGGAUAACCUACCUAUAAGACUGGGAUAACUUCGGGAAACCGGAGCUAAUACCGGAUAAUAUUUUGAACCGCAUGGUUCAAAAGUGAAAGACGGUCUUGCUGUCACUUAUAGAUGGAUCCGCGCUGCAUUAGCUAGUUGGUAAGGUAACGGCUUACCAAGGCAACGAUGCAUAGCCGACCUGAGAGGGUGAUCGGCCACACUGGAACUGAGACACGGUCCAGACUCCUACGGGAGGCAGCAGUAGGGAAUCUUCCGCAAUGGGCGAAAGCCUGACGGAGCAACGCCGCGUGAGUGAUGAAGGUCUUCGGAUCGUAAAACUCUGUCAUUAGGGAAGAACAUAUGUGUAAGUAACUGUGCACAUCUUGACGGUACCUAAUCAGAAAGCCACGGCUAACUACGUGCCAGCAGCCGCGGUAAUACGUAGGUGGCAAGCGUUAUCCGGAAUUAUUGGGCGUAAAGCGCGCGUAGGCGGUUUUUUAAGUCUGAUGUGAAAGCCCACGGCUCAACCGUGGAGGGUCAUUGGAAACUGGAAAACUUGAGUGCAGAAGAGGAAAGUGGAAUUCCAUGUGUAGCGGUGAAAUGCGCAGAGAUAUGGAGGAACACCAGUGGCGAAGGCGACUUUCUGGUCUGUAACUGACGCUGAUGUGCGAAAGCGUGGGGAUCAAACAGGAUUAGAUACCCUGGUAGUCCACGCCAUAAACGAUGAGUGCUAAGUGUUAGGGGGUUUCCGCCCCUUAGUGCUGCAGCUAACGCAUUAAGCACUCCGCCUGGGGAGUACGACCGCAAGGUUGAAACUCAAAGGAAUUGACGGGGACCCGCACAAGCGGUGGAGCAUGUGGUUUAAUUCGAAGCAACGCGAAGAACCUUACCAAAUCUUGACAUCCUUUGACAACUCUAGAGAUAGAGCCUUCCCCUUCGGGGGACAAAGUGACAGGUGGUGCAUGGUUGUCGUCAGCUCGUGUCGUGAGAUGUUGGGUUAAGUCCCGCAACGAGCGCAACCCUUAAGCUUAGUUGCCAUCAUUAAGUUGGGCACUCUAAGUUGACUGCCGGUGACAAACCGGAGGAAGGUGGGGAUGACGUCAAAUCAUCAUGCCCCUUAUGAUUUGGGCUACACACGUGCUACAAUGGACAAUACAAAGGGCAGCGAAACCGCGAGGUCAAGCAAAUCCCAUAAAGUUGUUCUCAGUUCGGAUUGUAGUCUGCAACUCGACUACAUGAAGCUGGAAUUGCUAGUAAUCGUAGAUCAGCACGCUACGGUGAAUACGUUCCCGGGUCUUGUACACACCGCCCGUCACACCACGAGAGUUUGUAACACCCGAAGCCGGUGGAGUAACCUUUUAGGAGCUAGCCGUCGAAGGUGGGAC
rnacentral:rRNA from 1 species